UACGUAGGGUGCGAGCGUUGUCCGGAAUUACUGGGCGUAAAGAGCUCGUAGGUGGUUUGUCGCGUUGUCCGUGAAAACUCACAACUCAAUUGUGGGCGUGCGGGCGAUACGGGCAGACUGGAGUACUGCAGGGGAGACUGGAAUUCCUGGUGUAGCGGUGAAAUGCGCAGAUAUCAGGAGGAACACCGGUGGCGAAGGCGGGUCUCUGGGCCGAUACUGACGCUGAGGAGCGAAAGCGUGGGAGCGAACAGG
rnacentral:rRNA from 1 species